rnacentral:tmRNA from 2 species
GGGGGCGAAAGGGCUCGACAGAGCUGGUUCGACUUUCGGUUGCGAGCCGUGGAUUCUCGUUGGCCACGUCAAAAACGAGAAAAAAAGUAGUUGCGAAUAACAAUUACGCCUUCGCUGCCUAAAUAGCCAGCGAGAUCCGCACUCCUCGAGCCGGUAGGGGAGAGUUCGGGUCUAAUAAAAUCCGGAUCGUUGGGUCGGCUUCCGUCUGUAGCUAGCUCGACUAAAUAAAUCAGACUGGGCGUGCGUUCAGCCGGCCUCGGGAGAGAGCGCCGCCGAGAUAAAGUACUGAGGAGACGCUCGUGGUAACUGGAGGGGCGACAGUUUUGGAAGGGGGUUCAAUUCCCCCCGCCUCCACCA